CCUACGGGCGGCAGCAGUAGGGAAUCUUCCACAAUGGGCGAAAGCCUGAUGGAGCAACGCCGCGUGGGUGAAGAAGGUCUUCGGAUCGUAAAACUCUGUUGUUAGAGAAGAAAGUGCGUGAGAGUAACUGUUCACGUUUCGACGGUAUCUAACCAGAAAGCCACGGCUAACUACGUGCCAGCAGCCGCGGUAAUACGUAGGUGGCAAGCGUUAUCCGGAUUUAUUGGGCGUAAAGGGAACGCAGGCGGUCUUUUAAGUCUGAUGUGAAAGCCUUGGGCUUAACCGGAGUAGUGCAUUGGAAACUGGGAGACUUGAGUGCAGAAGAGGAGAGUGGAAGUCCAUGUGUAGCGGUGAAAUGCGUAGAUAUAUGGAAGAACACCAGUGGCGAAGGCGGCUCUCUGGUCUGUAACUGACGCUGAGGUUCGAAAGCGUGGGUAGCAAACAGGAUUAGAUACCCGGGUAGUC
rnacentral:rRNA from 1 species